GCCCUUGUAGUAUAAACUAAUACACUAGUCUUGUAAACUAGAAAUGGGACUUAUAGCCCUUAGGACA
rnacentral:tRNA from 1 species